CAGAAAGAGAGAAGCUUUCCUAGCCUGAAGCUGCUGGAGAAGUGAUUACAGCUUUUCGCCCCUAUUCUUCUGGGAGCUGAGCAUCUACACAUCCCCCUUGAGUAACUUCCACUGCAGCCCUUUUCUGGUGAUUUUUCAGAGCAAUGAAGCCAUGAGUGCAAAGGGAAUCAGUGAGCAGCAGAUACAAGAACUGUCUUGACAGUUGAAACUGGAAAUAAACUACUGCAGGUCAGUGAAUUCUAACCUCUC
rnacentral:lncRNA from 14 species